rnacentral:rRNA from 1 species
GACGAACGCUGGCGGCGUGCUUAACACAUGCAAGUCGAACGAGGUCCACUGCGUAGCAAUACAAGGGAAGACCUAGUGGCGAACGGGUGCGUAACACGUGAGGAACUUGUCCCGGUCUCUGGGAUAACAGUUGGAAACGACUGCUAAUACCGGAUGACGUCGGAAUCUCGCAUGGGAUACUGACGAAAGGGUACUGGAUCGGGAGAGCCUCGCGGCCUAUCAGCUUGUUGGUGAGGUAACGGCUCACCAAGGCAUCGACGGGUAGCUGGUCUGAGAGGAUGAUCAGCCACACUGGGACUGAGACACGGCCCAGACUCCUACGGGAGGCAGCAGUGGGGAAUCUUGCGCAAUGGGCGAAAGCCUGACGCAGCAACGCCGCGUGCGGGAAGAAGGCCCUCGGGUUGUAAACCGCUUUCAGUAGGACGAAAAUGACGGUACCUGCAGAAGAAGGUGCGGCCAACUACGUGCCAGCAGCCGCGGUAAU